rnacentral:lncRNA from 1 species
AAAACACUCAUUCGGUAUUUAUCAGAGUGAAAAGAAAAAGGCAGAGAUCCUGAGAGCUGAAGCUGAUGGGUAUUUGCCUGUAUGUCCAUGGAUUGAUUCCAAUGGGAUUAGAUGUUCACCAUCAACAGCCCGAGGUGAUGGUUUAGUUCUUAGUAAGGAACUAACGACAUCUCUGAUGGUUCCAUUGAUCUUCUGCUCACACCAUCCUCAGACUAUUCUUUACUUCUUAAUAACAGUUAUUUUCUCUUUCUUAGGAAGAAUUGAUUUUUCAGUUUAGUCCUUAUGAUUUGCAGAACAAAGAAUAUGAAGAUUGUUGCCUUUAGAAGGUGAAAGAUCAUGAAAAGCAUGUGGAAUUAAAAUGGAUCCUUAUUUUUAAUAUGAUAUCCUUCCUGAAAAUAUAGUUUUUUAAAAAGCACACUCCCUAAAGUUACUGAAAAUACAUCUAAGCAAUUCUAAAUCAGAGAGAAAAUAUUUAAGUUCACUUUAUUUAAAUGGAAAAAGAAUAACAAUAAAGGUCUCUCCAAGAGAGAGAAAGAAACAUGAAGCCCUUGGAGGACUUCUACAGCUAAAUAUAUUCACAAUAGCCUUUCCAGGUUAUUCUCAUGGUAGGAGUAGCCGUAGCAGAAGCAGCAGCAAUAGUAUUAACAGUGGUAGCAGCUAGCAUUGGGAGCACACUCACUGUGUACCAGAGCCUGUGCUGAGGUUUUUAC